rnacentral:rRNA from 1 species
UACGAAGGGGCUAGCGUUGCUUGGAAUCACUGGGCGUAAAGCGCACGUAGGCGGAUUGUUAAGUCAGGGGUGAAAUCCUGGAGCUCAACUCCAGAACUGCCUUUGAUACUGGCGAUCUCGAGUCCGGGAGAGGUGAGUGGAACUGCGAGUGUAGAGGUGAAAUUCGUAGAUAUUCGCAAGAACACCAGUGGCGAAGGCGGCUCACUGGCCCGGUACUGACGCUGAGGUGCGAAAGCGUGGGGAGCAAACAGG